rnacentral:sRNA from 1 species
GUGGGUGUGAGGAGAAAGGAAGAAAAAGCGCUUGGGGUCGAAACACGGCAAGACUCCUGAGCGCUUUUUCAGU